CACCCAGGGAACUGAAACAUCUAAGUACCUGGAGGAAGAGAAAGAAAAAUCGAUUCCCUGAGUAGCGGCGAGCGAAACGGGAAUAGCCCAAACCAAGAGGCUUGCCUCUUGGGGUUGUAGGACACUCUACAUAGAGUUACAAAGGAAUGAGUUAGACGAAGCGAUCUGGAAAGGUCCGCAGGAUAGGGUAAAAGCCCCGUAGUCAAAAGUUCAUUCUCUCUUGAGUGUAUCCUGAGUACGGCGGAACACGUGAAA
rnacentral:rRNA from 1 species